ACUCGCCCCUGGGGAGGGGCGGGUGGGGAUUCUGGGCCGGUGGCGGAGUCAGUGUCGCUUCAGCCAGGCUGCGGAGCGGACGGACGCGCCUGGUGCCCCGGGGAGGGGCGCUACCAGGGGAGGAGGAGGAGGAGGAGAAGGUGGAGAGGAAGAGACGCCCCCUCUGCCCGAGAUCUCUCCAGGCCCUGACCUCAGGGGCCAGGGCACUGACAGGACAGGAGAGCCAAGUUUCUCCACUUGGGCUGCCCUCUGAAGAGGCCGCGACCCUGGAGGGCCCUGAGCCCACAGCACCAGGGGCCCCAGCAGCACCCCGGGGGCCUAAAGCGACAGUCUCAAGGGCCACCGCAAGGUUUCCAGUUGCCUAGACAACAGGCCCGGGGUCAGAACAACAACCCUUCCAGCCACCUGCCUCAACUGCUGCCCCAGGCACCAGCCCCAGUCCCUGCGCGCCAGCCAGCCCAGGUGACAUGCCGGUGCUCUCCAGGCCCCGACCCUGGCAGGGGAGCACGCUGAAGCGUACGGCCGUGCUCCUGGCCCUCGCGGCCUAUGGAGCCCACAAAGUCUACCCCUUGGUGCGCCAAUGCCUGGCCCCGGCCAGGGGUUCUCAGGCGCCGGCCAGGGACCCCACGCAGGAGGCCUCCGGGGCCGCGGCGGCCAAGGCCGGCGUGAACCGGGUAUUCCUGCAGCGGCUUCUGUGGCUCCUGCGGCUGCUGUUCCCCCGGGUCCUGUGCCGGGAGACGGGGCUGCUGGCCCUGCACUCGGCCGCCCUGGUGAGCCGCACCUUCCUGUCGGUGUAUGUGGCCCGCCUGGACGGAAGGCUGGCCCGCUGCAUCGUGCGCAAGGACCCGCGGGCCUUUGGCUGGCAGCUGCUGCAAUGGCUCCUCAUCGCGCUCCCUGCUACCUUCGUCAACAGUGCCAUCCGCUACCUGGAGGGCCAGCUGGCCCUGUCGUUCCGCAGCCGUCUGGUGGCCCACGCCUACCGCCUCUACUUCUCCCAGCAGACGUACUACCGGGUCAGCAACAUGGACGGGCGGCUUCGCAACCCUGACCAGUCUCUGACAGAGGACGUGGUGGCCUUUGCGGCCUCUGUGGCCCACCUCUACUCCAACCUGACCAAGCCACUCCUGGACGUGGCUGUGACUUCCUACACCCUGCUUCAGGCGGCCCGUUCCCGUGGGGCCGGCACAGCCUGGCCCUCAGCCAUCGCCGGCCUCGUGGUGUUCCUCACGGCCAACGUGCUGCGGGCCUUCUCGCCCAAGUUUGGGGAGCUGGUGGCAGAGGAGGCGCGGCGGAAGGGGGAGCUGCGCUACAUGCACUCGCGUGUGGUGGCCAACUCGGAGGAGAUCGCCUUCUAUGGGGGCCAUGAGGUGGGGCAGGUUGGGACGCUGGGCACGGAGGGAAGCGUGUGGCAGGGAGGCCCGGGGGCGGGCAGCCGUGAGCAGUGGGGACAGUCCAGGGCGGGCUGGGGCUGAUGCCAAA